UUCGGCCGGGGGAUUAGUGGCGAACGGGUGAGUAACACGUGGGCAAUCUGCCCUGCACUCUGGGACAAGCCCUGGAAACGGGGUCUAAUACCGGAUAUGACUACCGACCGCAUGGUCUGGUGGUGGAAAGCUCCGGCGGUGCAGGAGAGCCCUAUCAGCUUGUUGGUGGGGUGAUGCCUACCAAUGGCGACGACGGGUAGCCGGCCUGGAGGGCGACCGGCACACUGGACUGAGACCGGCCCAGACUCCUACGGGAGGCAGCAGUGGGGAAUAUUGCACAAUGGGCGAAAGCCUGAUGCAGCGACGCCGCGUGAGGGGAUGACGCUUCGGGUUGUAAACCUCUUUCAGCAGGGAAGAAGCGCAAGUGACGGUACCUGCAGAAGAAGCGCCGGCUAACUACGUGCCAGCAGCCGCGGUAAUACGUAGGGCGCAAGCGUUGUCCGGAAUUAUUGGGCGUAAAGAGCUCGUAGGCGGCUUGUCACGUCGGAUGUGAAAGCCCGGGGCUUAACCCCGGGUCUGCAUUCGAUACGGGCAGGCUAGAGUUCGGUAGGGGAGAUCGGAAUUCCUGGUGUAGCGGUGAAAUGCGCAGAUAUCAGGAGGAACACCGGUGGCGAAGGCGGAUCUCUGGGCCGAUACUGACGCUGAGGAGCGAAAGCGUGGGGAGCGAACAGGAUUAGAUACCCUGGUAGUCCACGCCGUAAACGUUGGGAACUAGGUGUGGGCGACAUUCCACGUUGUCCGUGCCGCAGCUAACGCAUUAAGUUCCCCGCCUGGGGAGUACGGCCGCAAGGCUAAAACUCAAAGGAAUUGACGGGGGCCCGCACAAGCGGCGGAGCAUGUGGCUUAAUUCGACGCAACGCGAAGAACCUUACCAAGGCUUGACAUACACCGGAAAACCCUGGAGACAGGGUCCCCCUUGUGGUCGGUGUACAGGUUGGUGCAUGGGCUGUCGUCAGCUCGUGUCGUGAGAUGUUGGGAUUAAGUCCCGCAACGAGCGCACCCCUUUGUUCUGUGUGCCAGCAUGGCCUUCGGGGUGAUGGGGACUCACAGGAGUACUGCCGGGGUCAACUCGAGGAAGGGUGGGGGACGACGAUCAAGUUCAUCAUGCCCUUAUGUCUUGGGCUGGCACACGUGCUACAAUGGCCGGUACAAUGACGUCGAGCCGUGAGGUUGGAACGUAAUAUCUCUCAAGAAAGCGGCUUCACGGAUUGGGGUCUGCAACUCGACCCCAUGAAGUCGGAGUCGCUAGUAAUCGCAGAUCAGCAUUGCUGCGGUGAAUACGUUCCCGGGCCUUGUACACACCGCCCGUCACGUCACGAAAGUCGGUAACACCCGAAGCCGGUGGCCCAACCCUUACGAGGUAGCCGCCG
rnacentral:rRNA from 1 species